AAUAAUGGAUUAUCACUCAAUCUUUUCUUGUGAAGUACAGGUACAGAUAGAUGAGUAGAGGGAGGACCCUACUAAACUGAGUAGCCCGAGAGGGUUCGCUUCGAGAGGAUGUGGACCGACUAUUUGAAAUGUUAGAGAGACUCAUCGCUUCCCAGCAGGCCUGGGAGGAAAGGAGGGAGCUACCUGACGCUCCCUUACUGCCACAGGUCGAGCCACCCUUGCAAUGGGAGGAUCUUGAGCCACCCCGCUGCGAUCUUGCUCCUCAAUAGUACCAUCCAGUACCACCACAGUAUGAUCUAAUGCCCCAAUCACAGUACCACCCGACGCCACCAUAAUAUAGCCCGAUGCCCCAACCGCAUCACCCAGUACCACCACAGUAUAAUUCAGUGCCUCCACUAUAAAAUCUAAUACCACCACAGGGUCAUCCAGUCCAUGCCCAGCACAAUCCAGUCCCUCUUUCACGAGACCCAGUUGCUCUCAUGAUGGACCUAGGCUACAUUGAGAGUUAUAAAAGACUAAACUCAUCUACUUUUGUAGGGGUAUUCUCCUUUGAAGAGGCAGAGUACUGGUUGGCUGAGACAGAGAAAGCCUUCACGACUAUUGGGGUG
rnacentral:lncRNA from 1 species